rnacentral:lncRNA from 1 species
GCUCCUGCAUCCGAAAGUGAUCAUAGGCUGCCUGUGCCUAGGUCAUUGAUAGUGCAGGGAGAGGAACGCUGAAAGAGGUUGUCCCCGUGUUUGGAGGGUCCACCCUAUCCCAUCCGAACCCUGAAGCUUUCACACAACUCCUGUUGCUCUCCUGCCAGCCCUUGAGGAGUCCGGCGCUUGCUUGGCUGCCACAUGAAAGAUUGUCAGCUGACCUCUGUCCUGUGUGCCCAGUGGCCCCAGGUGACGUGUCUUCAAGAAGAGGCUGAGCUGCGGUGCUUGUAAGGGUCUCAUUCUGUCACCCAGGCUGGAGUGCAGUGGUGCAAUGAUGGCUCACUGCAGCCUCGACCUGGGCUCAAGUGAUCCUCCACCUCAGCUUCCUGAGUAGCUGGGACCACAGAGUCAUGUGCUGUUCCUGGGGCUUGGAUGAUGUAGGGGAAGCAAGGUGAAAGUGGUAUCCCGUGGUUCCACGUUCUGUCCUGCUGUGGGGCUGUCCCUCACAUGCUUUCAGUGGCUGUUGCAGAGGAAGAGCCUCCGGAAAUCUGCGUGGGUAAAGUCUCAGCCUUAGAUCCAAGGACAGUCCAAGGAAGUCCUAAGACCAUGGAGUUGGUGAUCUGGGAUCUGGGUUUGCUGAUAUUUCUCACCGUGAAUCUCUUGGUGGUGUUUGUGGGCACGAGAGGGGCAGAGAAUGGAGAGUGAGGCUACCACAUGAAGCGUCACCAGAGCUGCUCCCUGCUGCCUGCUCAGAGCACCCCGGAUCCACUGUUCAAUCUGCACAAGAUUCGGGGUCCAGACAUGGGAGACUUCAGCUGCCUCAGAGGACCGUGGACAGGGAAGGCCAGCCUCGCAUCCCUCUGUCCAUGCCUGGAAUGACUUUAAUAACCAAGAGUUUUAUUUUUGAAUUUGUAGCUGUCGUUCACUUUUUACCCACCCAUUCAAUAAACCUUACAGAAUUGC